UACGUAGGGGGCUAGCGUUGUCCGGAUUUAUUGGGCGUAAAGAGCGUGUAGGCGGCCAGGUAGGUCUGCUGUGAAAACUCGAGGCUCAACCUCGAGACGUCGGCGGAAACCAUCUGGCUAGAGUCCGGAAGAGGAGAGUGGAAUUCCCGGUGUAGUGGUGAAAUGCGUAGAUAUCGGGAGGAACACCAGUGGCGAAGGCGACUACCUGGCCUGUUCUUGACGCUGAGGCGCGAAAGCUAGGGGAGCAAACGGG
rnacentral:rRNA from 1 species